rnacentral:ncRNA from 1 species
UUUCGAGUCGAUAACUGGAUGUGGUAUGACAAUGAUACUUCUGUCUUUUAAUGGCUCGAUAGAUUAAUUCCGCAAGAUACUUACACGGCACCUAAGGGAUUAUCUUUGGAUGCUGUUUAAAUGUCUUGUACAUAU